GGGGGUGCUAGGGAAGCAUGGAGAACAGGAGACCAACUCCAUGGGGGAAAGAUGAAGAGCAAUGGUGUUUUUGAGCAUGGGCCCUGAAUUAAUUCUCCCUUCGGCAGCACCUACAGCAUAUUCUUGCUUCUGAGCUGAAUAUCUGCGUUCCUGCUAAACCAGAGAUCACAGUUAUCAGGUGAUUGAUCAACUCCAGUGUAUCAAAUCACAAAGUUGAACAACCAUAUCAUCUAAUUUUAGACCAUUUUGUCACUCCAAAUCUAUUGUACUUAUUAGAAGUGGCUCCCCAUGCCUUCUCCCCAUCUCUACCGACCUCUCUGUCCUCAACUCUCAGGAACCACUAAUCUAUCUUCUUUCUCUAUAGAUGCCUCCUCUGGACAUUUCAUAUGAAUGGAUAAAUAUAAUACGAAGUCUUUCGUCACUGCUUUCUUUCACUUAGAAUGUUGUAGCAUGCGUCAGCACUUCCUUCCUCUUUAUCACUGAGUGGUAUUCCAUUGUAUGGAUAGGCCUCACUUGGUUUAUCUACUCAUUAGUGGAUGUAGUUGGAUGGUUUCCAGCUUUAGCUUUUAUGAAUAAAAUUGCUAUGAACAUUCCUGUGUGAGUUUUUGUGCAGACAUAUGUUCUUAUUUCUCUUGGGUAAAUACCUAGGGGUGAAAUUGUUGGAAGAUGUAAUAAUUCUGUGCUCAACAUUUUGAGGAAUUACCAAAUUAUUUUCCAAACUGGCUGCACUAUUUUACAUUCCUACUAGCAAUGCAUGAAGAUUAUAAUUUCUACACAUCUUAGCUUGUAUUUUAGUUAUAAUUUCCAUGUUUCUCUCCCCCAAUAAACUGAAGAUUGA
rnacentral:lncRNA from 10 species